rnacentral:lncRNA from 1 species
UAUAACCAGAUGCCCCGCAGGGCGUAGCUUUAUACGACCGCAAAGGUUGAACCCUGAACGGUUGGGGCAAGUAUGGACACAACAUUCAAGCUGGAUUCAGCUCUAAAUUUGGAUUGUGAUUAAAUAGUUGACACAGCAUAGGUUUCUGACACAGAAUGAAUGUGUUCUAAUGAACUUAAAAUUUUUGUUUUCUCUUAGAGCAAUUCACUAUGCUG